AAUAAAAAGAGCAUUUGUUAUAAUUAUGCACGGAAUACAUAAAAAACGAAAUAAAUAAAACCAUCAACUUAUUCGAGUUUGCAAAAAAUAAUAUUGGACGUAAACCCAUCACUUAAGUGUUGAGAUCCAAGACCCAACACUGCGACAUGACCAGCUCAAUUGGAACAGCUUCAUACAAUGGAACACGCAUCACUUCGUUGUGGAAGAAUCUGUAACACAUUGAAUAAAAUUAAUUAAUAAAUAUUAAGUAAACAUAUGACAAGUUACUACUAAGUGUUA